AGAUAAAUCUCAAAACCCAAACAUACGGGCAGUCAUCAACAAAACAAUAAUCCAAAGGAAAUAUAAACAACCUAAUCUAGACCGACACGACAAGCCUAGAUCAGAGCCGACACGACCCGAUAUUGGAGAAAGCUCCCGAUAUCCCACGCAAAGACUCACCGAGCACUACUCCUGCACAACGUCUACUCACCCAUACAGGCAAGUAGGCGGUUAAAACCACUGGGGGUAAGUAUUACAUUAUCAUAACCAAAUAAUAAUCAAAUCGAAUAAUAUCAUGUACUUGAAUAAUAUUAGUCAUGCAUAAAUACUUACAUCACAACUCGUUAUCUCAUAUCAACAUACAUCAAUCACAUGAAUAAUUACCCAAUCAUAAAUAUUCAUUCACAACACCAAUCAUUUAACAAUCAUUAUCGACAUGCAUUCAUCUCAUUUCAUCACCAAUCACAUAUUUCACAUAGGACUCAUACUAUGAUAUGCACUUAUGGACACAUAAAUGCAUGUGGUACCAAAUCUCAACAAGGUCGUCACCUCCGAUGGACAAGUCAACAUCGCAUGUAAGGCUCACCUCUGCCUUACAAUAAUCUCGAAGUAAAAGAGUCAUCCCUUUUACAGCAACAACGACUAUGAUGCAUGGACAUGUGUAAGGACUCGAUAAUGCGACAACAAUUCACAAUCUCAACUCAGUAUAUAGGACAACACCCAAUUAUAUUGAUCAUCUCCACAACAUUGCAUUAUCAAGGAAACAUGUCUACACACAGUUACAUCAUAGCAUUCAUCAUCACACAUCAACACGAUUAUCAAUAAUCAACAAUGUCAUUCAACAUCAACUAUAUCAUAUAGUUUCACCAUUCCAAACAAUUCUCAUAUUCCAAGUAAGAGAACAUACAACAUCUCAUCACAAAUAUCAUAUUCAACAUUCAACUACAAUCAAAUACUUCCAUAUAAUCAUACGAAACUAAUUAUGAAAGAUUUAUAAGAUGAUUGGCUUAAAAGGAUAUUUUCAUCAAUGUUCGUCUCUCUUUAACAUCUUACAAGAAUCUUCCAUUUUCAAAACCAAAACCAAAUAAAACUCAAGGAAACCAAUCUCAAUCAUUUUCAUUUAUCAUAUAAUCACUACACUACUUUAAUCCCAUUCCAUUUCCUUGAAUUUCAAAUUUCGGAAAAAUCAACGUUCUUGACAAUUUUCAAAGUGGAAAUUCAAUUACAUAAACCAAGUCCAAUUCUUGUUCAAGGAAGUGUUCCAGUAGGAUUAAUUGUACAAACAGUGAUUAUAUAAGUUAAAAGAACUGUUUUAAGAAGUUCGGAUUGGCCCUCGGAAGCUCGGAACAAAGUUUCAAAAGUGCUGGAAAAAGUUCUGCACGCUUAAGCAUCCACCAGCUCGCUUAAGCGUCCAACUUCCAGUAGCUACUGUGACUGCACGCUUACCAGCUCGCUUACAGCACGCUUAAGCGUGCAUUCAUCAGACAGCAACUAGCGUCACUUGCAGAGUCGCUUAAGCGACCAUUCAAAAUUCUGCAUAACAAAAGUUACGGGUUUCACCCAUUUUUCACCCAAAACUCCCAAUUUUGAUCUCCCAAUGCCCAAAUAUGUUUCCAAAUAAUGUUUAUAGGUCAUAUAACUCACAAGGAUACUCAAAAACACGUUGAACAUGAAAAUCAAACUCAUUUUUAGCCAAUUCACCAAAUUAUCUAUUCACACCAAAACACCAACAACAAUUCAAAAUUUUCAUCAUCAAUCCAUGAAUAUGCAUACCCAAUCAGUGAUUCAUCAACAACAACAUCAAAUAACAACAAUAACAUCAAUUGAGCAAGAAUCAAAUCUCAACAUAACAAUAACUUAGCAAAAUUCACCAAUUGAGCACAAUUUUCACAACUUAUCAUUUUUACAUAUUUGAACAUGUAACUUCACCAACAAUCAUACAAUUAUCAUCAAUUUAUGCAUACAAACAUAUCAUCAUAGUUGGAGCACGAAUUUAGCAACAAUCAUCCAUAAUCAAAAUUCAUACAACAUUUGAAAAUUUACAAAAUGAUGAUGAUUAUGAUAAAGACUAACCCCCUUACCUUAAUUAUCUCCAACUAUUAGCUCUAGCUUCACUUUAGCUCCUAUGAUUCUCCAAACCCUUGAAUUCUUCAAGCUCCUCCUCUCUCUAACCCUUGUUUCUCUCUUCUCCCACUUUCUCUCUCUACCUCUUCUUAGGAAAUGUUUU
rnacentral:lncRNA from 1 species